UACAGAGGUGGCGAGCGUUGUUCGGAUUUAUUGGGCGUAAAGGGUCCGUAGGCGGACCGGAAAGUCUGAUGUGAAAUCCCACAGCUUAACUGUGGAACUGCAUUGGAAACUUCCGGACUAGAGUGUGAGAGGGGUUAAGGGAAUUCCCGGUGUAAGGGUGAAAUCUGCAGAGAUCGGGAGGAACACCAGUCGCGAAGGCGCUUAACUGGCUCACUACUGACGCUCAGGGACGAAAGCUAGGGGAGCAAACGGG
rnacentral:rRNA from 1 species